rnacentral:rRNA from 1 species
CAUAGCAGUCGAACGGUAAGGCCCUUUCGGGGGUACACGAGUGGCGAACGGGUGAGUAACACGUGGGUGACCUGCCCUGUACUUCGGGAUAAGCCUGGGAAACUGGGUCUAAUACCGGAUAUGACCUUCUCCUGCAUGGGGGUUGGUGGAAAGUUUUUGCGGUACAGGAUGGGCCCGCGGCCUAUCAGCUUGUUGGUGGGGUAAUGGCCUACCAAGGCGACGACGGGUAGCCGGCCUGAGAGGGCGACCGGCCACACUGGGACUGAGACACGGCCCAGACUCCUACGGGAGGCAGCAGUGGGGAAUAUUGCACAAUGGGCGAAAGCCUGAUGCAGCGACGCCGCGUGAGGGAUGACGGCCUUCGGGUUGUAAACCUCUUUCAGUAGGGACGAAGCGCAAGUGACGGUACCUACAGAAGAAGCACCGGCCAACUACGUGCCAGCAGCCGCGGUAAUACGUAGGGUGCGAGCGUUGUCCGGAUUUACUGGGCGUAAAGAGCUCGUAGGCGGUUUGUCACGUCGUCUGUGAAAACCCGAGGCUUAACCUCGGGCCUGCAGGCGAUACGGGCAGACUUGAGUACUGUAGGGGAGACUGGAAUUCCUGGUGUAGCGGUGGAAUGCGCAGAUAUCAGGAGGAACACCGGUGGCGAAGGCGGGUCUCUGGGCAGUAACUGACGCUGAGGAGCGAAAGCGUGGGUAGCGAACAGGAUUAGAUACCCUGGUAGUCCACGCCGUAAACGGUGGGUACUAGGUGUGGGUUUCCUUCCACGGGAUCCGUGCCGUAGCUAACGCAUUAAGUACCCCGCCUGG